rnacentral:rRNA from 1 species
UACGGAGGGUGCAAGCGUUAUCCGGAUUUACUGGGUUUAAAGGGUGUGUAGGCGGACUUUUAAGUCCGUGGUGAAAUCUCCGGGCUCAACCCGGAAACUGCCAUGGAUACUAUGGGUCUUGAAUAUUGUUGAGGUGGGCGGAACGGGUCAUGUAGCGGUGAAAUGCAUAGAUAUGACCCGGAACACCGAUUGCGAAGGCAGCCCCACUAAGCAAUGAUUGACGCUGAGGCACGAAAGCGUGGGGAUCAAACAGG